GUCCGUGGUGGACGAGCUGAGUCUCAUCAGAGCUGAACCUGUGUGUGUGAAAGCAAGGUGUAGGAAUCCUUCCACCAUCCAAGGUUCAAUUGAAGUGUUCUUUAAUGGUGUUGGGGUAAUGGUACAGAUUUGAGGUGGAAGAACCCAGUGGGGGCUACAAAAAAGGAAAGGGAGGUCCUCCUCCACCAGAAGGAUAAGCCCGAUGAUUCACAGAAUAGAGACCCUGACACCAAUCAGGCAAUCAUAAAGG
rnacentral:lncRNA from 1 species